rnacentral:rRNA from 1 species
AUUGAACGCUGGCGGCAUGCUUUACACAUGCAAGUCGAACGGUAACAGGCCGCAAGGUGCUGACGAGUGGCGAACGGGUGAGUAAUGCAUCGGAACGUGCCCAGUCGUGGGGGAUAACUACUCGAAAGAGUAGCUAAUACCGCAUACGAUCUAUGGAUGAAAGCGGGGGACCGUAAGGCCUCGCGCGAUUGGAGCGGCCGAUGUCAGAUUAGGUAGUUGGUGGGGUAAAGGCUCACCAAGCCAACGAUCUGUAGCUGGUCUGAGAGGACGACCAGCCACACUGGGACUGAGACACGGCCCAGACUCCUACGGGAGGCAGCAGUGGGGAAUUUUGGACAAUGGGCGCAAGCCUGAUCCAGCAAUGCCGCGUGCAGGAAGAAGGCCUUCGGGUUGUAAACUGCUUUUGUACGGAACGAAACAGCUCUGGUUAAUACCCGGGGCUAAUGACGGUACCGUAAGAAUAAGCACCGGCUAACUACGUG